rnacentral:rRNA from 1 species
UACGGAGGAUCCAAGCGUUAUCCGGAUUUAUUGGGUUUAAAGGGUGCGUAGGCGGAUUGAUAAGUUAGAGGUGAAAUGUCCGAGCUUAACUCGGGAGCUGCCUCUAAUACUGUUGAUCUAGAGAGUAGAUGCGGUAGGCGGAAUGUAUGGUGUAGCGGUGAAAUGCUUAGAGAUCAUACAGAACACCGAUUGCGAAGGCAGCUUACCAAUCUAUAUCUGACGUUGAGGCACGAAAGCGUGGGGAGCAAACAGG